GUAGUCUCGCACAGAUGCAUAUCAAUAAGCGGAGGAAAAGAAACUAACAAGGAUUCCCUUAGUAACGGCGAGUGAAGCGGGAAGAGCUCAAAUUUGAAAUCUUCAAGGUUUUACCUUGACGAAUUGUAGUUUAAAGAAGUGUUUUCUGUUGAAGUUUUGGUAAAAGUUCUUUGGAAUAGGACAUCAUAGAGGGUGAGAAUCCCGUAUUUGACCAUUAUUUUCAGCUGUGUGAUACACUUUCAAAGAGUCGGAUUGUUUGGGAAUGCAGUCCAAAAUGGGUGGUAAAUUUCAUCUAAAGCUAAAUAUUGGCGAGAGACCGAUAGCGAACGAGUACCGUGAGGGAAAGAUGAAAAGAACUUUGAAAAGAGAGUUAAACAGUACGUGAAAUUGUCAAAAGGGAAGCGUUUGACACCAGUGUUGUUUUCUCGAAAAUCAAUUAAAAAGAGUUAGAUUUUGUUGUGUAUUGACCUUAACAGCUUGCAUUUCAAUUUUCUUGCUUUUUUUAAUGCACUUUUCGUUUAACAAGUCAACAUCAGUUUCUUUUGUUGUAAAAAGGUCAUUGGAAGGUGGCUUUCCUUUCGGAGAAAGUGUUUAUAGCCUUUGACUCCUGCAAUCGGAGAGACUGAGGUCUGCAGCGUAGAUCCUUCGGGGUUAGAUACAUUUGUGCUAAGUUAUAGCUUUUUAUAGACAACUUGUUGACUAUGAUUAGUCUUGUAGCUUACUCGCUUAUGCUAUUUUACCUACGCUUAGGAUGUUGAGCGCAUGUCUCUCUCU
rnacentral:rRNA from 1 species